rnacentral:rRNA from 1 species
GACGAACGCUGGCGGCGUGCUUAACACAUGCAAGUCGAACGGAAAGGCCCCUUUGGGGGUACUCGAGUGGCGAACGGGUGAGUAACACGUGAGUAACCUGCCCUUGACUUCGGGAUAACUUCAGGAAACUGGGGCUAAUACCGGAUAGGAAUGCUUGCUGCAUGGUGGGGGUUGGAAAGCUUCGGCGGUUUUGGAUGGACUCGCGGCUUAUCAGCUUGUUGGUGGGGUAGUGGCUUACCAAGGCUUUGACGGGUAGCCGGCCUGAGAGGGCGACCGGCCACAUUGGGACUGAGAUACGGCCCAGACUCCUACGGGAGGCAGCAGUGGGGAAUAUUGCACAAUGGGCGGAAGCCUGAUGCAGCAACGCCGCGUGCGGGAUGACGGCCUUCGGGUUGUAAACCGCUUUCAGCAGGGGCGAAGCUUGUGGUGACGGUACCUGCAGAAGAAGCACCGGCUAACUACGUG